GCGGUGGCGGGGUGGACGAGGGGGACGCGGCGGUAGCGGGCCUACGCGGAGGUAGCGUGUGGCGUGGCCACAACCUCCUGUGGCCGGCCCCCGUCGGGACGUGGCGGGAGGUUCGAGCGCUCCUACCCGCGCGCCGACCUAGCUUAGCUCCGACUUCCGGAGGAAGGAACGUGGCACUGAACACGCCGCUGCCACUGGAGACAAGGGGAGGAGGGAGUUGAGGGGAAGACCAGCGGGCUGCUCGACGGGGAGGUAGGGAGCGUCAAGCGGCCGAGUACGCACGUCAGGUGACACCCGUUGUCGACUGGUGGUAGUGGCUACUACCUCAGGUGUGCGUACGGCAUGUGAACAGUACCAGUUUCACACGCCGAACGUCAAACCGUGUUCUCCCAUACGUCACGUCAAGUCAAGAAGCGACCCGGCUACAUGGAGAGUGAGGUAGGAUACGCAAGUAGAGAUGAGGAACGUACGUCACGUUAAAAAACAAGUAAACGUCGAAGUCAAUCAAAGUCACUCGAGAACACGCUAAACUUAGAGGACGUCCCUUUCUCGUCAUCGUUCGUACACCAUUACACCAAGUUAGACGGUACAUAUAUACUGAACUAACGUUAAAUGAAAAACCGGUCUAAGCGAUAUUGCGCGACCGACCGGUGGAAGGCAUCGGAGCAGCGCAGGACGUGGCUGGCCUCCUCGGCGCAGGACGUUGGCACGAGGGUAGAAGGAGGGGAUUUGGUCGCAACCACAAAACCGCGGAGGGGGCACGUCGAGGCAACAACGGUGGUACUUCAAGUCGAUCGAGUGAUGACGUCGUACAGCGGCCGCCACGUGUGAGAUGUGCGUACAGCAGGUGAAACGGCUAACACUCCAAGCCACAAACGUACGUCCAGUAGUCAAACCACGCCGCUCGAGAACGUCAAGCCCGCCGUGGAACAUCAAGCCCCACCGUGACCGGCUACCUCGCGGUGUGAGGACGCGGUGGGGAAGCUGGUGAGAGAUCCCGGCCACACGGGACUAGGCGAGUCAACGGAGACAGGAUGGAGCUAGGUCUAGUCCUAGCUCGAGGAGCCAUCGACGGUCGUCUCGAAGAAGAGGGAGCGGCAACUCGAGGAAGAGGGAGAUGGCCGUCUAACCCCUCAGCGACCAGUUGCGUGGCCGAUCACCACAGGAUGCCGUCGGCGCGAACGUCACGUCAAACCGCCGCUCGUGUGAACGUCACGUUAAGCUGCCGCUCGGCAGACGUCAUGUCAGGCCGUCACGAGCGUCCGAUCGUCACACGUCGAACAAAGAAAAGAAAAGCGAAGUAGAAUAACAUUUUUUUCAACUUAGCGGACACUGGAAAGCUAACACACAGCGGAGGUGGCGGUUUCACACGUACGUAAAGUCACACAUCACAACAACGCGCAACUCGUUGUGAUUCCUACUGCCGCUCGUUCGCCACGUCAGGUCACCGAAGCGGUAUGUUAAACGGAACUAAACAGAACGCCAAAUCAAUAGAGAGACUACAUCAAGUUAUUCACUAAAACCAAGGCUGUUUUUUAAUACACCAAGCGAAACAUUUUUACUAAUACGUCAGGAGAGAGUGUACUCCCCUUCGACUACUGCACUGGUACGU
rnacentral:rRNA from 1 species